rnacentral:rRNA from 1 species
UAGAGUUUGAUCCUGGCUCAGGAUGAACGCUAGCGGCAGGCUUAACACAUGCAAGUCGAGGGGCAUCGGGAGGGAAGCUUGCUUUCCUUGCCGGCGACCGGCGCACGGGUGAGUAACACGUAUGCAACCUGCCCUCUUCAGGGGGACAACCUUCCGAAAGGGAGGCUAAUCCCGCGUAUAUCGGUUUCGGGCAUCCGAGAUCGAGGAAAGAUUCAUCGGAAGAGGAUGGGCAUGCGGCGCAUUAGCUUGACGGCGGGGUAACGGCCCACCGUGGCGACGAUGCGUAGGGGUUCUGAGAGGAAGGUCCCCCACACUGGUACUGAGACACGGACCAGACUCCUACGGGAGGCAGCAGUGAGGAAUAUUGGUCAAUGGGAGAGAUCCUGAACCAGCCAAGCCGCGUGAGGGAAGACGGCCCUAUGGGUUGUAAACCUCUUUUGUCGGAGAACAAAACCCGGGACGUGUCCCGGACUGCGUGUAUCCGAAGAAAAAGCAUCGGCUAACUCCGUGCCAGCAGCCGCGGUAAUACGGAGGAUGCGAGCGUUAUCCGGAUUUAUUGGGUUUAAAGGGUGCGUAGGCGGUCCGUUAAGUCAGCGGUAAAAUUGCGGGGCUCAACCCCGUCGAGCCGUUGAAACUGGCAGACUUGAGUUGGCGAGAAGUACGCGGAAUGCGCGGUGUAGCGGUGAAAUGCAUAGAUAUCGCGCAGAACUCCGAUUGCGAAGGCAGCGUACCGGCGCCACACUGACGCUGAGGCACGAAAGCGUGGGGAUCGAACAGGAUUAGAUACCCUGGUA